rnacentral:rRNA from 1 species
CCUACGGGAGGCAGCAGUAGGGAAUAUUGCUCAAUGGGCGUAAGCCUGAAGCAGCAACGCCGCGUGGGGGAUGAAGGUUUUCGGAUUGUAAACCCCUUUUGUUAGAGAAGAUAAGGACGGUAUGUGACGAGUAAGCACUGGCUCACUCCGUUCCAGCAGCCGCAGUAAUACGUAGGGUGCAGCCGUUACUCGGAAUCACUGGGCGGAAAGGGCGCGUAGGCGGGAUAGUAAGUCAGAUGUGAAAUCGUAUGGCUUAACCAUAAAAUUGCAUUUGAAACUGUUAGUCUAGAGUAUAGGAGAGGUGGGCGGAAUUCUUGGUGUAGGGGUAAAAUCCGUAGAGAUCACGAGGAA